AGUAGUCUGUAACUGAUUUUAUACCAAAAUACGAAUGUUUUAAACUGUGUCAUUAACCACCAACUUCAUUGGACUGAAUGAAAACAGAACAAAUAACAAUAAAAUUAUUGGAAUAGAACUUAAUUUAUAUAAACUUAAAACUACUUACCUAAAAGUAAUAUACAGAUACUACAGAAAAAAAAGAAAAACAAAAAAAAAAGAUGAAAUAAAUGACAUAAUAAAAAUACACACACACUUUUACUACAUCGAUUUCCUGCCUCAUCACUCUUUCCACUCACAUGAGAUGCCACUGAAGCUUUUGGAAACUUCAACAGCAAAGGGCUCAGCUCUUCCAUAGCUGUUACCUUAUGACGUGUUCCAUUAGUUGUCUUGAUAACUAUGAUUCCAUCCUGGGUCCAGCAGGAUCGCAUUCCGAAGUGAGCUCUUGCCUUGAUAAAUAUGGACUGCCUGGGCUUUGUCAAAAA